rnacentral:lncRNA from 1 species
UUUUGAUAGUAAUACAGCAAUGCUUUCAGAAGCUCCUGAAAUAUAUAAGCUAAUAACUCCCUAAGGGAAAGAGCCAUAUACAGAUUUUGAAUUCUGUUUGUGUAUUUAACAUUUUCUCUCUUCUCUCCUAUUAUCAGGUAUAGUUUUGUAGUAUCGAUUAGUAAAUUUUGAGCCAUUGAAUGAGACAUGCUUAUUGGUGUAUGCUUUAGGACGUUUACUUUUUGUUCACUCAUAAAUGAUUCAGACUUUUUUUUUUUCUUUCCCAGACUUAUUUGCGAAUGCAAAAUGUGUUCAAAAUUACUUGAUAACUGAACUCCAAUUUGCUUACAAAGUCUAGAAGUUAAAUAAUGGAAGCUUGGAUCACGAUUUCAUGGCAGAUCAGACUCAGCUUUGAAGUAGACCUUCCUCCCACUGCUGCUCCGUUUCUGCCCAUAUAAUGAAGGCUUACCACUUUCUGUAAGCUUUGUCUGCAUGACCUCAUCCAGCUGGGAGAUCACCCUGAGAGGCCAGCAAAUGACCAAUCCCAUCAUCCCUUCUGAGGUCAGCGCCCUGGGAAGAAAGGAAUUUAUGAUGGGAAAACUUCAGGUCCCAGAGAGGGAACUUCUCUACAUGAAAAAGACUACCAAGCAGAAUUCUUUGGCGACUCUCAAAGCACCAAAUAUCAGCGCUGCUUAUGGCCAGGCUACCUGUGAGUUAUUCUGUUGUUUCUUCAUUAAAUGACAUAAAUGAGAUAACUCUAAAAUAUUUAUAAU